GCUUUUAAAGGAGAACAGUUCAUCCGUUGGUCUUAGGAACCAAAGCCCCUUGGUGCAAAUCCAAGUAGAAGCU
rnacentral:tRNA from 1 species